rnacentral:tRNA from 1 species
GGUAAAAUGGCUGAUUAAGGUGAUAAAUUGUAAAUUUAUUUAUGAAUAAUUUCUUUUACUG